rnacentral:rRNA from 1 species
CAGUCGCCGCGGUAAUACGUGGGGUGCGAGCGUUAAUCGGAAUUACUGGGCGUAAAGCGUGCGCAGGCGGUUGUGCAAGACAGAUGUGAAAUCCCCGAGCUUAACUUAGGAACUGCAUUUGUGACUGCACGGCUAGAGUGUGUCAGAGGGGGGUAGAAUUCCACGUGUAGCAGUGAAAUGCGUAGAUAUGUGGAGGAAUACCGAUGGCGAAGGCAGCCCCCUGGGAUAACACUGACGCUCAUGCACGGAAGCGUGGGGAGCAAACAGGAUUAGAUACCCCAGUAGUCCCUGUCUCUUAUAC